rnacentral:rRNA from 1 species
CGGCCCGAGUGGUGAUCGUGAUUAUUGGGUCUAAAGGGUCCGUAGCCGGUUUGGUCAGUCCUCCGGGAAAUCUGAUAGCUCAACUAUUAGGGCUUUCGGGGGAUACUGCCAGACUUGGAACCGGGAGAGGUAAGAGGUACUACAGGGGUAGGAGUGAAAUCUUGUAAUCCCUGUGGGACCACCUGUGGCGAAGGCGUCUUACCAGAACGGGUUCGACGGUGAGGGACGAAAGCUGGGGGGCACGAACCGGAUUAGAUACCCGGGUAGUCCCAGCCGUAAACGAUGCUCGCUAGGUGUCAGGCAUGGCGCGACCGUGUCUGGUGCCGCAGGGAAGCCGUGAAGCGAGCCACCUGGGAAGUACGGCCGCAAGGCUGAAACUUAAAGGAAUUGGCGGGGGAGCACAACAACGGGUGGAGCCCUGCGGUUUAAUUGGACUCAACGCCGGACAACUCACCGGGGGCGACAGCAAUAUGUAGGCCAAGCUGAAGACUUUGCCUGAAUCGCUGAGAAGUGGUGCAUGG